CUUGUGGUCACUUCCUUCCAGUACAGUC
rnacentral:piRNA from 1 species